rnacentral:misc_RNA from 1 species
AAGUCGUAACAAGGUUUCCGUAGGUGAACCUGCGGAAGGAUCAUUAUCAAUAUCAGCGGGCUUCGGCCCCUGCUAUACCCUUGUCUUUUGCGUACCACUUGUUUCCUCGGCGGGCUUGCCUGCCGAUAGGACAAACACAAACCCUUUGUAGUUGCAAUCAGCGUCAGAAAAAACAAUAAUUAAAA